rnacentral:rRNA from 1 species
GACGAACGCUGGCGGCGUGCCUAAUAUAUGCAAGUCGAGCGGACGAAUCGAAAGCUUGCUUUUGAUUCGUUAGCGGCGGACGGGUGAGUAACACGUGGGCAACCUGCCCUGUAGACGGGGAUAACACCGAGAAAUCGGUGCUAAUACCGGAUAACACGAAAUGUCGCAUGACGUUUCGUUGAAAGACGGCGCAAGCUGUCGCUACAGGAUGGGCCCGCGGCGCAUUAGCUAGUUGGUGAGGUAACGGCUCACCAAGGCGACGAUGCGUAGCCGACCUGAGAGGGUGAUCGGCCACACUGGGACUGAGACACGGCCCAGACUCCUACGGGAGGCAGCAGUAGGGAAUCUUCCGCAAUGGACGAAAGUCUGACGGAGCAACGCCGCGUGAGCGAAGGAGGCCUUCGGGUCGUAAAGCUCUGUUGUUAGGGAAGAACAAGUAACGCAGUAACUGGCGUUACCGUGACGGUACCUAACGAGAAAGCCACGGCUAACUACGUG